GGGUUGUGAGGUUAAGCGACUAAGCGUACACGGUGGAUGCCCUGGCAGUCAGAGGCGAUGAAGGGCGUGCUAAUCUGCGAUAAGCGCCGGUAAGGUGAUAUGAACCGUUAUAACCGGCGAUACCCGAAUGGGGAAACCCAGUGUGACUCGUCACACUAUCAUUAACUGAAUCCAUAGGUUAAUGAGGCGAACCGGGGGAACUGAAACAUCUAAGUACCCCGAGGAAAAGAAAUCAACCGAGAUUCCCCCAGUAGCGGCGAGCGAACGGGGAGGAGCCCAGAGCCUGAAUCAGCAUGUGUGUUAGUGGAAGCGUCUGGAAAGGCGCGCGAUACAGGGUGACAGCCCCGUACACAAAAGCGCAUGUGCUGUGAGCUCGAUGAGUAGGGCGGGACACGUGGUAUCCUGUCUGAAUAUGGGGGGACCAUCCUCCAAGGCUAAAUACUCCUGACUGACCGAUAGUGAACCAGUACCGUGAGGGAAAGGCGAAAAGAACCCCGGCGAGGGGAGUGAAAAAGAACCUGAAACCGUGUACGUACAAGCAGUGGGAGCACCCUGUGUGACUGCGUACCUUUUGUAUAAUGGGUCAGCGACUUAUAUUCUGUAGCAAGGUUAACCGUAUAGGGGAGCCGUAGGGAAACCGAGUCUUAACCGGGCGUUAAGUUGCAGGGUAUAGACCCGAAACCCGGUGAUCUAGCCAUGGGCAGGUUGAAGGUUGGGUAACACUAACUGGAGGACCGAACCGACUAAUGUUGAAAAAUUAGCGGAUGACCUGUGGCUGGGGGUGAAAGGCCAAUCAAACCGGGAGAUAGCUGGUUCUCCCCGAAAGCUAUUUAGGUAGCGCCUCGUGAAUUCAUCUCCGGGGGUAGAGCACUGUUUCGGCUAGGGGGCCAUCCCGGCUUACCAACCCGAUGCAAACUGCGAAUACCGGAGAAUGUUAUCACGGGAGACACACGGCGGGUGCUAACGUCCGUCGUGAAGAGGGAAACAACCCAGACCGCCAGCUAAGGUCCCAAAGUCAUGGUUAAGUGGGAAACGAUGUGGGAAGGCCCAGACAGCCAGGAUGUUGGCUUAGAAGCAGCCAUCAUUUAAAGAAAGCGUAAUAGCUCACUGGUCGAGUCGGCCUGCGCGGAAGAUGUAACGGGGCUAAACCAUGCACCGAAGCUGCGGCAGCGACACUGUGUGUUGUUGGGUAGGGGAGCGUUCUGUAAGCCUGUGAAGGUGGCCUGUGAGGGUUGCUGGAGGUAUCAGAAGUGCGAAUGCUGACAUAAGUAACGAUAAAGCGGGUGAAAAGCCCGCUCGCCGGAAGACCAAGGGUUCCUGUCCAACGUUAAU
rnacentral:rRNA from 1 species